rnacentral:lncRNA from 12 species
UGUGCCAACCACAGGACUACGUGCCUUGUCUUUUUUGCAUUCUUAUAACAAUGUUAACCACCACUUCUCCUCUUGCUUUAACUGUACUUUGAGAUAACUGUGGAUUCAUGUGUUGGAAGACAUAAUACAGAUCCCGUGUACCCUUGACCCUGCUUCCUCCAGUGGUGACAUCUCGCAUAGUUAUGGUAACCACGUGGGUACAUCGUCACUGAUGCAGUCCCUUAGGCUUUUUCAGAUUUUACCUGUGUUAUAUGCACACACUUGUGUAUCUGCAUACGUAUGUAUAUUUUUUCCUGUCCAGUUUACUAUAGGUGUAGAUUCCGUUUCUUUUGAACAUAUGAUGGAAAGAAGGCUGAGGUCUGUAUGAGCUGUUGGCUGUUGUGCCAGGCCGGCUGGGGCCACGUGUGGACAGCCAGGAAGACCUGACCUUCCUCUGGGAUAUGUUUGGUGAGAAAAGCCUGCAUUCACCGGUAAAGUGCUAAGUUGCCAGUGGAAACUGCCCAUGGGCCACAUGAGAGACCACGGAUCCUGUAAUGCUGGGAGGCAUAAAGCUGGCACAGAAGUGCUGCAGAGAGGCUGUCACCAGUUAGAGGGAAGGAGCCAGAGAAGCAAGAGGUGUGGCAACAGCCAAGGGUCUUCAAAGGUAGAUGGACUGUGCACUCCCUUCCUGAAUGGGAGACCAGCACAGAGACCUUGGGGGCACGCCCUGCCCAGCCCUGCCCAGCCUCGCCCAGGCUCCAGCCGGAGGCUCCGCCCCAGGCCAUGGCCUUCCACUUACUCACGUGACCAUGCCACAGGCAUGCAGAGAGGCAGGCUGAGCUCUGCCAGGCCAGCAGGGUCCGUGCCAGGCCUGGUGGACUUCGAGGACAAGGAGCAGGUGAAGGCCUUUCUGGAGAACGUGGUGGAGUGCAAGUACCAGUGCUACUGUGAGAAGGACCCGAAUGGACAGAAAGUUAUCUAAGCUCAAUAGUUCUGAGAAAUGUCUUCAUCUAGGAGCAUUCCCUCUGUUUCUUAGAAGUUUUGAUUUGGGAGAAAGGUUGACAAUCUGGGGGAAAAAAAAGACGAAGCGAAAGGAACAGCAUGCUCAGGAGGGCACACACCACGCCAGUUCCCUUGCUUCUAAUGGUUAUCACGUACCAACCCAAGUGGCUGCCGCCUUAUUAAUCAUCAUGUAUGUAUUUAGUAGAGAUAUGAACUACAACUGAUACUUAAAGUACUGAAGCAAUAUGUUUUAGAAGUUACAUAUUUUAGAAAACUAUCAUAAUUAUUCAAGGGAAAAAGGUUUAGCUUUUAUGUGGGCUCUAUUUGAUAAUGAUUUUUACCCCUAUUUGACAUCUCAUGUAACAAUGUACAGUGAUAGUAACUAAAUUUACUGUGGUAACCAUUUUGCAAUAUAUAUAUACAGCAAAU